UACGUAGGGGGCAAGCGUUGUCCGGAUUUAUUGGGCGUAAAGAGCGUGUAGGCGGCCAUACAGGUCCGUUGUGAAAACUGGAGGCUUAACCUCCAGACGUCGAUGGAAACCGUAUGGCUAGAGUCCGGAAGAGGAGAGUGGAAUUCCUGGUGUAGCGGUGAAAUGCGCAGAUAUCAGGAAGAACACCCGUGGCGAAGGCAGCUCGCUGGGACGUGACUGACGCUGAGACGCGAAAGCGUGGGGAGCAAACAGG
rnacentral:rRNA from 1 species